AUGAGGGCUUGCUGUUUCCUGCAUGGCCUGGCCCGGCCCCAUGGUUUUGGGCAACACUCUGUCUGCAUAGAAAGAGACAAAGGAGAAUGGAAGACACCAAGUGCAAAAAGAACUGUACACUCUACUUGCGUUGUUAAAAAGAUGCAGAGUUUUGAAAGCAGACACGUGCUCCAAAGCUGGAGAGACCUGUGGGCAUCUGCAUCUCACUGGUGGUCGUCUGAAGGCUCAAAGCCCACCUCUGAGCCCAGAUGCUGCUGACUUGUGCCCACAGUUCUACCUUGGACCUGUCCUGCUGAGUCAGCCUGGAAGAAAAUAGCAAGGACCCACAGACUUUAGUCAGCAGCCUGAAAACAGAGUGGAGUUCACUCUAAUACAGUCUGUACUCAUAAAACGAUGUUUAACCUGCAUGGGAGAUGCCCUAUUGUUUUGACCUUCAUGACAAUUGGGUGUAAAACUUUGAGUAAACACCUUCCUGAUACCUAUUACGGGGACUCUGCAGGAGGCACAGCCAUUAAUCAGAACAGCUGCAGGAGGCAAGGGCUGCUGAUGGAGCCCUAGAAGGAUGACUUGGUCCCCUGCAGUUCUCUCUCUUUUUCUUCAAAUUAAAACCCAAGGAAAUUGAGAGAGAAAGAAACUCCAUUUGGUUCCUUCUUGCCUCCCAGAAGAAGAGGCAGUUUCAACCUGCCUGCGCCAGGAGGAGGCGGGCAUGGAAUGGAGACUGCGAUGGAGCUUGUCUGUGGCUAUUGCUGUUUGUGUUUGACCUCUAGUGGAGAUGAGGAAGUGGAACAGAGAUAAGAAUGCCUCUCCCAGGUGACUGAAGAAGCCGAUAAAGCUGAGCUUGUGGUGACAGGACCGUGACUUUCCUGAUGAUGCUCCCCACGUAGACAGCUAGGAGGGAUAUGAGUGAAACCCUACUCUGAGAGCCCUGGGUGCCUUCCUGUCUGGGAGCCUGGGAGAGACACAGCUGCAGAGGCAGAAAGUGUGUCCUGGUUGAGUAAGGUUUCUCCUGAAAGGCUGGGAGCCUCCUUCUACAUUUAGGCCCAACUUGGGGCCACAAAACAGAGGUUGAGAGCAGGGGCUGUGGAUUCAGGCUGCCUGUGUGCCAACACUGGCCCUGUCACUUGAAGAAACUGACUUCACCCCUGUGUUCCUCCCCUUCUGACUCUAUGAAAUGGGUUUAGUGACAGUAGAUAUCUAGCAAUGAGAGCUUUGGUAAGGACCAAUGCUGGGCAUUACUAUGAAAGAAUCUGGAACUCCUG
ensembl:lincRNA